rnacentral:rRNA from 1 species
CCUACGGGUAGCAGCAGUGAGGAAUAUUGGUCAAUGGACGGAAGUCUGAACCAGCCAUGCCGCGUGCGGGAAGACGGCUCUAUGAGUUGUAAACUUCUUUUGUACAAGAGUAAACCUUAAUACGUGUCUUCGGCUGAGAGUACUGUACGAAUAAGUAUCGGCUAACUCCGUGCCAGCAGCCGCGGUAAUACGGAGGGUCCAAGCGUUAUCCGGAUUUAUUGGGUUUAAAGGGUGCGUAGGCGGGUUGAUAAGUUAGGAGUGAAAGGUCCGAGCUUAACUCGGGAACUGCCUGUAAUACUGUGAAUCUAGAGAGUAGGAGAGGUAGGCGGAAUGCACGGUGUAGCGGUGAAAUGCUUAGAGAUCAUACAGAACACCGAUUGCGAAGGCAGCAUACCGAUCUAUCUCUGACGUUGAGGCACGAAAGCGUGGGGAGCAAACAGGAUUAGAUACCCGAGUAGUC